rnacentral:rRNA from 1 species
GACUGGCAUCAGUUUAUAAUUAAAGAUUUAUCGGUAAAAGAUGGCUAUGCGUCCUAUUAGUUAGUUGGUAAGGUAACGGCUUACCAAGACAGCGAUAGGUAGGGGUCCUGAGAGGGAGAUCCCCCACACUGGUACUGAGACACGGACCAGACUCCUACGGGAGGCAGCAGUGAGGAAUAUUGGACAAUGGAGGAGACUCUGAUCCAGCCAUGCCGCGUGUAGGAAGAAUGCCCUAUGGGUUGAAAACUACUUUUAUACAG